rnacentral:rRNA from 1 species
UACGGAGGGUGCAAGCGUUAUCCGGAUUCACUGGGUUUAAAGGGAGCGUAGGAGGGCAGGUAAGUCAGUGGUGAAAUCUUCGAGCUUAACUCGGAAACUGCCGUUGAUACUAUCUGUCUUGAAUACCGUGGAGAUGAGCGGAAUAUGUCAUGUAGCGGUGAAAUGCUUAGAUAUGACAUAGAACACCAAUUGCGAAGGCAGCUCGUUACACGAAUAUUGACUCUGAGGCUCGAAAAGCGUGGGGAUCAAACAGG